UACGUAGGGAGCAAGCGUUGUUCGGAUUUACUGGGCGUAAAGGGCGCGUAGGCGGCCUGUCAAGUCAAUUGUGAAAUCUCCGGGCUUAACUCAGAACGGUCAAUUGAUACUGUCAGGCUAGAGUGCAGAAGGGGCAAUCGGAAUUCUUGGUGUAGCGGUGAAAUGCGUAGAUAUGUGGAGGAAUACCGAUGGCGAAGGCAGCCCCCUGGGUCAAGACUGACGCUCAUGCACGAAAGCGUGGGGAGCAAACAGG
rnacentral:rRNA from 1 species